rnacentral:lncRNA from 1 species
GGACAUAUGGCUUCAAUGGAGGAGAAGGAAUCGGCAUAACAGCGUAAUUUUCUUCUUCUUGGGAUUUCUCAGCUUCUUUCUCUUUUUCUAAUUUUUCUUUUUCCAAGUCGACCGCUGUAUUUACUUGCUUCUUUUCCCGAAUUGUGAUUGACAUUACUUGUUCUUGAUUUUUCGGAUUAAUUACGGGUUGGCUUGGCAAUACUCCUUGAUUUCUUCCACUCAAUACAUUAGCUAGUUGGCCUACUUGGAUCUCCAAGUUUCGAAUAGAAACGCUUUGAUUCUGAAACUGGGUUUUU